GGGGGUGUUCUGGUUUUGACAUCAGAUCAGUUGGUCGGGGUGCGUGCCGAGCGUUGGGAGCCGCGCUCGUUAAUCUAUGACUUUCAGCCAUUAAUUGGCAACAACAAUUAUGCACUCGCUGCGUAAUCAGCUAAGCUGACGGCGCUUAAUCCUUGAGGCACAAGGUGCUUCGGACGAGUAUCCCGCCAGGUUUUCCGUCUUCUUGGAUCUGGCAUACGGGGUAUCAUUUAAAGAAGAAUGCGGAGGACGACUCCUUUAAAUCCUCCUAAGUUUUAAAGGAUAAGCUUUGGGCUUGCCCGCUCCGGGGCGGGGCCAUGGACGAAAAUCAAACCGGAGAUACGCACGUAGAAAUCCGAUUGGCGGCCUGAUUGGACAGCGGUUCGACUCCGCUCACCUCCACUA
rnacentral:tmRNA from 1 species